rnacentral:rRNA from 1 species
CCUACGGGAGGCAGCAGUGAGGAAUAUUGGUCAAUGGUCGCGAGCCUGCACCAGCCAAGUAGCGUGAAGGAUGACUGCCCUACGGGUUGUAAACUUCUUUUAUACAGGAAUAAAGUGAGGUACGUGUGCCUUUUUGUAUGUACUUUCUGAAAAAGGAUCGGCUAACUCCGUUCCAGCAGCCGCGGUAAUACGGAGGAUACGAGCGUUAUCCGGAUUUAUGGGGUUUAAAGGGUGCGUAGAUGGUGUGUUAAGUCAGUUGUGAACGUUUGCGGCUCAACCGUAAAAUUGCAAUUGAUACUGGCAGUCUUGAGUACAGUUGAGGUAGGCGGAAUUCGUGGUGUAGCGGUGAAAUGCUUAGAUAUCACGAAGAACUCCGAUUGCGAAGGCAGCUUACUAAACUGCCACUGACAUUGAUGCUCGAAAGUGUGGGUAUCAAACAGGAUUAGAUACCCCUGUAGUC